rnacentral:rRNA from 1 species
CGGUUAUAAGAUCCCUCAAAGAUGAUGAGGUUAAUAGGUUCGAGGUGGAAGCAUGGUGACAUGUGGAGCUGACGAAUACUAAUCGAUCGAAGACUAUCCUGAGUACGACGGAGCACGUGAAAUUCCGUCGGAAUCUGGGAGGACCAUCUCCUAAGGCUAAAUACUCUCUAGUGACCGAUAGUGAACCAGUACCGUGAGGGAAAGGUGAAAAGCACCCCGGAAGGGGAGUGAAAUAGAACCUGAAACCGUGUGCUUACAAGUAGUCAGAGCCCGUUAAUGGGUGAUGGCGUGCCUUUUGUAGAAUGAACCGGCGAGUUACGAUUUGAUGCAAGGUUAAGCAGUAAAUGUGGAGCCGUAGCGAAAGCGAGUCUGAAUAGGGCGUUUAGUAUUUGGUCGUAGACCCGAAACCAGGUGAUCUACCCUUGGUCAGGUUGAAGUUCAGGUAACACUGAAUGGAGGACCGAACCGACUUACGUUGAAAAGUGAGCGGAUGAACUGAGGGUAGCGGAGAAAUUCCAAUCGAACCUGGAGAUAGCUGGUUCUCUCCGAAAUAGCUUUAGGGCUAGCCUCAAGUGAUGAUUAUUGGAGGUAGAGCACUGUUUGGACGAGGGGCCCCUCUCGGGUUACCGAAUUCAGACAAACUCCGAAUGCCAAUUAAUUUAACUUGGGAGUCAGAACAUGGGUGAUAAGGUCCGUGUUCGAAAGGGAAACAGCCCAGACCACCAGCUAAGGUCCCAAAAUAUAUGUUAAGUGGAAAAGGAUGUGGCGUUGCCCAGACAACUAGGAUGUUGGCUUAGAAGCAGCCAUCAUUUAAAGAGUGCGUAAUAGCUCACUAGUCGAGUGACACUGCGCCGAAAAUGUACCGGGGCUAAACAUAUUACCGAAGCUGUGGAUUGUCCUUUGGACAAUGGUAGGAGAGCGUUCUAAGGGCGUUGAAGCAUGAUCGUAAGGACAUGUGGAGCGCUUAGAAGUGAGAAUGCCGGUGUGAGUAGCGAAAGACGGGUGAGAAUCCCGUCCACCGAUUGACUAAGGUUUCCAGAGGAAGGCUCGUCCGCUCUGGGUUAGUCGGGUCCUAAGCUGAGGCCGACAGGCGUAGGCGAUGGAUAACAGGUUGAUAUUCCUGUACCACCUAUAAUCGUUUUAAUCGAUGGGGGGACGCAGUAGGAUAGGCGAAGCGUGCGAUUGGAUUGCACGUCUAAGCAGUAAGGCUGAGUAUUAGGCAAAUCCGGUACUCGUUAAGGCUGAGCUGUGAUGGGGAGAAGACAUUGUGUCUUCGAGUCGUUGAUUUCACACUGCCGAGAAAAGCCUCUAGAUAGAAAAUAGGUGCCCGUACCGCAAACCGACACAGGUAGUCAAGAUGAGAAUUCUAAGGUGAGCGAGCGAACUCUCGUUAAGGAACUCGGCAAAAUGACCCCGUAACUUCGGGAGAAGGGGUGCUCUUUAGGGUUAACGCCCAGAAGAGCCGCAGUGAAUAGGCCCAAGCGACUGUUUAUCAAAAACACAGGUCUCUGCUAAACCGUAAGGUGAUGUAUAGGGGCUGACGCCUGCCCGGUGCUGGAAGGUUAAGAGGAGUGGUUAGCUUCUGCGAAGCUACGAAUCGAAGCCCCAGUAAACGGCGGCCGUAACUAUAACGGUCCUAAGGUAGCGAAAUUCCUUGUCGGGUAAGUUCCGACCCGCACGAAAGGCGUAACGAUUUGGGCACUGUCUCAACGAGAGACUCGGUGAAAUCAUAGUACCUGUGAAGAUGCAGGUUACCCGCGACAGGACGGAAAGACCCCGUGGAGCUUUACUGUAGCCUGAUAUUGAAAUUCGGCACAGCUUGUACAGGAUAGGUAGGAGCCUUUGAAACGUGAGCGCUAGCUUACGUGGAGGCGCUGGUGGGAUACUACCCUAGCUGUGUUGGCUUUCUAACCCGCACCACUUAUCGUGGUGGGAGACAGUGUCAGGCGGGCAGUUUGACUGGGGCGGUCGCCUCCUAAAAGGUAACGGAGGCGCUCAAAGGUUCCCUCAGAAUGGUUGGAAAUCAUUCAUAGAGUGUAAAGGCAUAAGGGAGCUUGACUGCGAGACCUACAAGUCGAGCAGGGUCGAAAGACGGACUUAGUGAUCCGGUGGUUCCGCAUGGAAGGGCCAUCGCUCAACGGAUAAAAGCUACCCCGGGGAUAACAGGCUUAUCUCCCCCAAGAGUUCACAUCGACGGGGAGGUUUGGCACCUCGAUGUCGGCUCAUCGCAUCCUGGGGCUGUAGUCGGUCCCAAGGGUUGGGCUGUUCGCCCAUUAAAGCGGUACGCGAGCUGGGUUCAGAACGUCGUGAGACAGUUCGGUCCCUAUCCGUCGUGGGCGUAGGAAAUUUGAGAGGAGCUGUCCUUAGUACGAGAGGACCGGGAUGGACAUACCUCUGGUGUACCAGUUGUCGUGCCAACGGCAUAGCUGGGUAGCUAUGUGUGGACGGGAUAAGUGCUGAAAGCAUCUAAGCAUGAAGCCCCCCUCAAGAUGAGAUUUCCCAACUUCGGUUAUAAGAUCCCUCAAAGAUGAUGAGGUUAAUAGGUUCGAGGUGGAAGCAUGGUGACAUGUGGAGCUGACGAAUACUAAUCGAUCGAAGACUUAAUCAA